rnacentral:rRNA from 1 species
GACGAACGCUGGCGGCGUGCCUAAUACAUGCAAGUAGAACGCACAGUUUAUACCGUAGCUUGCUACACCAUAAACUGUGAGUUGCGAACGGGUGAGUAACGCGUAGGUAACCUGCCUGGUAGCGGGGGAUAACUAUUGGAAACGAUAGCUAAUACCGCAUAAUAUUGAUUAUUGCAUGAUAAUUGAUUGAAAGAUGCUAUUGCAUCACUACCAGAUGGACCUGCGUUGUAUUAGCUAGUAGGUGAGGUAACGGCUCACCUAGGUGACGAUACAUAGCCGACCUGAGAGGGUGAUCGGCCACACUGGGACUGAGACACGGCCCAGACUCCUACGGGAGGCAGCAGUAGGGAAUCUUCGGCAAUGGACGAAAGUCUGACCGAGCAACGCCGCGUGAGUGAAGAAGGUUUUCGGAUCGUAAAGCUCUGUUGUAAGAGAAGAACGGGUGUGAGAGUGGAAAGUUCACACUGUGACGGUAUCUUACCAGAAAGGGACGGCUAACUACGUG